UUGUGCGUGCUGCUCUGUGUGUACAGUGUUGUGUGUGUGUGUGGGGGGGAGGGUGGUAUUGUCAGCAUUUUUCUCCUGAGGGUCUUAAAUACCACAGUAACAUAUGUCACGUACUCUCACAGAUUUAGAGACCAACGGCCACCCUAACACACAGGCCAACGGCCACCCUAACACACAGGCCAACGGCCACCCUAACACACCACCCUAACACACAGGCCCACGGCCACCCUAACACACAGACCCACGGCCACCCUAACACACAGGCCAACGGCCACCCUAACACACAGGCCCACAGGCCACCCUAACACACAGGCCACCCUAACACACAGGCCCACGGCCACCCUAACACACAGGCCACCCUAACACACAGGCCAACGGCCACCCUAACACACAGGCCCACGGCCACCCUAACACACAGACCCACGGCCACCCUAACACACAGGCCCACGGCCACCCUAACACACAGACCCACGGCCACCCUAACACACAGACCCACGGCCACCCUAACACACAGGCCCACGGCCACCCUAACACACAGACCCACGGCCACCCUAACACACAGGCCAACGGCCACCCUAACACACAGGCCCACGGCCACCCUAACACACAGGCCAACGGCCACCCUAACACACAGACCCACGGCCACCCUAACACACAGACCCACGGCCACCCUAACACACAGGCCCACGGCCACCCUAACACACAGGCCCACGGCCA